UACGAAGGGGGCUAGCGUUGCUCGGAAUGACUGGGCGUAAAGGGCGCGUAGGCGGCUCAUACAGUCAGAUGUGAAAUUCCUGGGCUUAACCUGGGGGCUGCAUUUGAUACGUGUGGGCUUGAGUGGGGAAGAGGGUCGUGGAAUUCCCAGUGUAGAGGUGAAAUUCGUAGAUAUUGGGAAGAACACGUGGCGAAGGCGGCGACCUGGUCCUUGACUGACGCUGAGGCGCGAAAGCGUGGGGAGCAAACAGG
rnacentral:rRNA from 1 species